rnacentral:rRNA from 1 species
UGCGCAGGCGGCCUGAUAAGUCAGGGGUGAAAUAUGACGGCUCAACCGUCAAACUGCCCCUGAAACUGCCAGGCUUGAGUCCGGGAGAGGUAGGUGGAAUUCCAGGUGUAGCGGUGAAAUGCGUAAAUAUCUGGAGGAACACCGGUGGCGAAGGCGGCCUACUGGCCCGGAACUGACGCUCAGGCACGAAAGCUAGGGGAGCGAACAGGAUUAGAUACCCUGGUAGUCC